rnacentral:lncRNA from 1 species
AGAGUUGGAUCUUGACCAUGAAAAUAUAAAUGUUACGAUAGGUUCAUAAUACAUCGUUAAACCAUUUUAUCUAACUUGUGACAGCAUGAGCAUGCACUUUAUUUUGAAAUGUCUGCAAAAAAGAACAAUCUUCAAACAUAAGAUGCUCAUCCUUGCCAAUCGAUGACUUGAACUACCUUGAGUACCUGAAGCUGCCUGGUGUUCUUGACCAGCUUGACCUGGAGAGAGGCUUAGAGGGAAGAUUUAUGUGUUUGCAAAUGCCAACAAAUUUCCUGCAAAAUGCCAACAAAUUCCCUGAUGUAAAACAACUGAUAAUACAUAACAAAAUUACCCAUGUUUCUUCCCAAAAAAACUCAAACUGAACUCAUUUUUGUAAUUUAGAGACAAUAAAUUCCAAAAAAAAAACAGAUAAAUAAAGCAAUCAAACCGUUAAAGGGGUCAAAUUUAGUAACUUAACAAGAGGGGAAACCAGUUAGAGAGGUCAAAUUUAGUAACUUAACAAAAGGGGAAACCGGUUGAGCGUUAGACCAUCAUAUAAUCUUUCGAAUACUGAAUUUGGAUUCGGUUUUGCGCCAUCUUAAAAGCUUAGCCAUUUGGCCCAUUACCCAAUCAAACCAUUUCGCCACCUAUAAAGAAACAAAAUCCAGAUAAAUGAAAUCACAGCACGUACUUCAAAGGUAUCAGAUUUCAAUCUUAGAUUAACACCUAUACUUUGAUCUACAUGAUCUUCAAUCUCAGUUAAGAGGCAACUUCAGGCCACUGACUUGAAAGUGGGUAGAACACGGACAUGACGAAGUGGUCCCCAUUCAGCCUAUAGUUAAAAUAAUGAUAUAAGAAACUAAGUAAUAUAAAAAAUUAUAAUAUUUUGUAAAGAGAUGAAUGGGAUAAAUUAUAAGUACAUAAGAAUUGGAUGCCGAUCUUCUUCGGUUCAGCUUCGUUCUCAUGUUUAGCAGCCGCCACAUAUAUGGAUGAAGAGAAAAUAUACAUAGCAUAGAGACGAAAUACAAACUAUACAACCUUAAAAAUCAAUUCAUGCAUAUGAUGUAAUAACUGCCAUUAGCAUGCACAAAACAAGAACAUAUAUAAAUGAAUUGAAUGGGUCUGAGUCAUAUCCAAAUCUAAUAAGAAAGAACAAAUAAUAGAAGUUCAACAAAAUAUAUGAAAAAGUAAAAAUUAUAUAAAAAUAUCACAUGAAAGAAGAAACUGUAAGUUUAAUAUAAAGUGUAAAUGUGCAAGGGACCAUUGUGGACCUGUGGUACAAAAGAAAGAAAAGCCAGAGGUUUAUUAUAUGGUUCCACAUAGAGGGCCCACAAGCUCACUAUUCCAUCUAUGAGAAUUAGGGGUGCAAACGAGCCGAGCCGAGUCCGAGCUCGGCUCGGGCUUGGCUCGUUUAUUAUCUAUUAAUUAGUAUAUUAAAUAAUAGACUUUUUAAGCUCGCGAGCUCGAUAAGUGAAGCUCGGGCUUGGGCUCGUUUACUAAAUAAGCUUAUUUUUAGGUUCGAGAUCGGCUUGUAAACAAGUUUAAAUAAGCUAGGCUCGACUCGGCUCGUUUACACUAAGGCUCGACGAGCCUAACAAGCUUCACAUGCGAGGCUCGAGCUCGGACUCGAUAAACAAACGAGCUUUGUUUUUAGGCUAAAGCUCGGCUCGGGCUCGAUAAAGCUCUACUUGUUUCAAGCUUUUUCUCGAGCCGAUAUCGAGUAGCUCGCGAGCCGCUAGGCUCGUUUGCACCCCUAAUGAGAAUGUACCACUAAAUAUUGCAAAAAAAGAUUAAAAAAAAAAAAAGACAUAAAACACAUGUUAUAAAAUUAUCCACAAUUUAUACAUGUCUCCUCCUACAAAUCCAUAUACACCUUAAGCAACAAUGCACACAUAAGAUAAACAAUGCAUAUUAAAAUCCAUAGUUAUCAAAGGCGUGAAGCGCACUCAAGGCGCUUAGGCUCCGCUUAGGCCUAGGUGAUAGGCGCAAAAAAAGCGUGGGCCGGUGAAAAAAAAAGCGCACUUAAAUAAAAAAAAAAGUUCAUUAAAGCAAUAAAGUACUCAAAACCAAAACAAAAAUGUUCAUACUCCAUUUAAAAAGUCUCAAAUAACAAAAUACUCAAAACCAACAUGUUAAUGUUCGAAAAAAAAUAGUUCAUUAAAGUAAUAAAAGAGUAAGCAAAAAAAUACUGCAGUAAAGCCCUAUAAAUACUGCAGAAAAAGUGGAAUUUACAAAUUAAUACAAACUUAAUAUUACUAAACGAGAUUUUGAUCUUUAGUGAUAUCAUUUGUUAGUAAAAUCCCUAUAAAUACUGCAGAAAAAGGGGAUAUUACAACUUAAUAAAGAAAAAUAUUAAAUAUCAAUAGGAUUUAGGCUGCGCUAUAAUUAGCUAGGAAUCAAAGGCGCAAUUACUGGGAAUCGCCCAGAAAAAACGCAUAGGCGCCAAAAGCGCACGCUUUUGAUAACUAUGUUAAAAUCAAAACAAUAAGAAGGUUCCAAAUCAAUUUUAUAACAUACAUUUAUUCUAUCGAAAAAAUGACACAUGGAACAGCAUUAACUUUCAUAUAAUUCCAAAAUCUAUGCCUUUAUACAUCAUCCCUGCAAGUGAAUUUUAUAAUUGAUUUUCAUACUUGCAGAAACCUAAAACUCUUUGAUCUUUAUUGAAUAAAGGGAUUGUAUAGAUUGAUGAAGCCAAUAAACGAAUGAGAGACUACCUGAAGCGGAAUGACUGACCACGGUGGACGGACGGAGUGGCUGACAGUGGCGGAUCGGUGAAUCGGAGAAAAGAGAAUCGAAUGCACAGAAAGCAUUGUUUUGAAAAUUGUCCUUUAUUUGAUACUUAUAGGAAUGAUGGCUGAAUCGGAACCACCAGAAAGCAUCAUGUCCUUUUCACCUCUGAUAAUAUGAUUCGCUGCAUUGAGUAUACAAUAAUUACUCGUAGCACAAGCUGUGGAAAUCGAAUAAUUUGGUCCCAUC